rnacentral:rRNA from 1 species
UACGUAGGGUGCGAGCGUUGUCCGGAAUUACUGGGCGUAAAGAGCUCGUAGGUGGUUUGUCGCGUUGUUCGUGAAAACUCACAGCUUAACUGGGAGCUUGCGGUCGAUACGGGCAUCACUGGAGUUCGGCAGGGGAGACUGGAAUUCAAGGUGUAGCGGUGAAAUGCGCAGAUAUCUUGAGGAACACCGGUGGCGAAGGCGGGUCUCUGGGCCGAUACUGACGCUGAGGAGCGAAAGCGUGGGGAGCGAACAGG